UACGUAGGGUGCGAGCGUUAAUCGGAAUUACUGGGCGUAAAGUGUGCGCAGGCGGCAGAGCAAGUCGAGUGUGAAAGCCCCGGGCUUAACUUGGGAAUUGCGCUCGAAACUACUUUGCUGGAGUGUGGCAGAGGAAGGUAGAAUUCCACGUGUAGCAGUGAAAUGCGUAGAGAUGUGGAGGAAUACCGAUGGCGAAGGCAGCCUCCUGGGCCAACACUGACGCUCAUGCACGAAAGUGUGGGGAGCAAACAGG
rnacentral:rRNA from 1 species